rnacentral:rRNA from 1 species
GACGAACGCUGGCGGCGUGCUUAACACAUGCAAGUCGAACGGAAAGGCCCUGCUUUUGUGGGGUGCUCGAGUGGCGAACGGGUGAGUAACACGUGAGUAACCUGCCCUUGACUUUGGGAUAACUUCAGGAAACUGGGGCUAAUACCGGAUAGGAGCUCCUGCUGCACGGUGGGGGUUGGAAAGUUUCGGCGGUUGGGGAUUGACUCGCGGCUUAUCAGCUUGUUGGUGGGGUAGUGGCUUACCAAGGCUUUGACGGGUAGCCGGCCUGAGAGGGUGACCGGCCACAUUGGGCCUGCGAUACGGCCCAGACUCCUACGGGAGGCAGCAGUGGGGAAUAUUGCACAAUGGGCGGAAGCCUGAUGCAGCAACGCCGCGUGCGUGAUGACGGCCUUCGGGUUGUAAACCGCUUUCGCCUGUGACGAAGCGUGAGUGACGGUAAUGUGUAAAGAAGCACCGGCUAACUACGUG